CAGCCCUAUAGGAGACACCUCCAGAGAAAGUAACAACUCUCAGUUGAUUAGCUGAGGAAGACACCAAAUGAGCUACACUGUUUUGGACUCCCCAACACAACCCAGCCACCGGCUGAAUGCCACCAAAUUACCUUCUAGUUAAAGCUUUAUGGAGCAAACGAAUCACCUAUUCAAUAUCUGCUUGAAUUUCUGACUCAAAAUAUAUCAGGAGCAUGGUCAUAUAAAUUGUUAUUCAUUCAAAUUAUGGAAUAUUAUAAAGCAGUGAAAAACAAGUUAACUAUAAUCAGAUGGAAUAACUUUGAAGCUUCAGGGGCUGGAUCCUGACAUGAACCAGGCACCUCCAGAAUUCUAUCCCAAGCAAAAGAUUACUUCAAGGCCAGAACUCACUCCCUGCUGGAGACUGACUACAAGAUCCACUGAGAUUGACUUGUAACCUGAUUGGGCCCACAGUGAUGCUAGCCCCUUCACCAGAUGGAACAAUAAUUCCAGACAAGCCAUCAGAGCAGGUCACACCGCUUGACACCUU
rnacentral:lncRNA from 1 species